rnacentral:rRNA from 1 species
AGGUGCUGCAUGGCUGUCGUCAGCUCGUGCUGUGAAGUGUUCGGUUAAGUCCGGCAACGAGCGCAACCCAUACCUUACUUGCUAACAGGUAAUGCUGAGAACAUUAAGGAGACUGCCCGUGUUAAGCGGGAGGAAGGUGUGGACGACGUCAAGUCAGUAUGGCCCUUACACCCGGGGCUGCACACGUGCUACAAUGGCCGGUACAAAGGGCAGCGACAUAGUGAUAUGGAGCGAAUCCCCAAAACCGGUCUCAGUACGGAUUGGAGUCUGCAACUCGACUCCAUGAAGAUGGAAUCGCUAGUAAAUGGGCAUCAGCUACGGCUCAUUGAAUACGUUCCCGGGCCUUGUACACACCGCCCGUCACAUCAUGGGAGCUGAGUUCACCCGAAGUCGUUGCGCCAACCUGCUUGCAGGAGGCAGACGCCGAAGGUGGGCUUAGUGACUGGGAUGAAGUCGUAACAAGGUAGCCGUUGGGGAACCAGCGGCUGGAUCACCUCCUUUUUAAGGAAUGAAAAAGACUAACCUCUUUAAGACUUCGGUCUUUAUAGAGUGCUUUUUACAAGACUUAUUACCCCGUUACUAUCGUAUAAUUCAAAUAUCAAGCGCUGAGAACAGCACUUCGAUAUAAGAUCUUUGAAAGGAAGAAAACAAUAGAAUGAAAGAGUCAAAGUAUAAUUGAGGUCUUUUAACUUUUAUAAGUUAAAGGAACCAACCAAAAAACAAUUUAUACCAAGAUCGCAAACCAAAAGAAUACAAGACAAAGAAAGACUUAGUAGAGAUUAGGUGUGUCGCUGAAGAUAUUAUUUUUAAUAUUUUUGGUGGACAAGCUAGUAAGGGUGUAUGAUGGAUGCCUUGGCACUAACAGGCGAUGAAGGACGCGUUAAGCUGCGAAAAUCCUCGGGGAGCUGCAAAAGAGCUUUGAUCCGGGGGUAUCCGAAUGGGGAAACCCAACUGGAGUUAUGUCCAGUUAUCCCUAACUGAAUAAAUAGGUUAGGGAAGCGAACCUAGGGAAGUGAAACAUCUCAGUACCUAGAGGAAAAGAAAUCAACCGAGAUUGCGCUAGUAGCGGCGAGCGAACGCGCAAGAGCCUAAACCUAAAAGCAUGCUUUUAGGGGUUGCGGGACCUGCAACAUUGUAUUGAAGAGAUAGCUGAAUAGUUUGGAAAAUCCAACCACAGAGGGUGAUAGUCCCGUAAGCGAAAUUUCUUUAAUAUAUAGCGGGUAUCCCAAGUAGGGCCGGACACGUGAAACCCGGUCUGAAUCAGGGAGGGCCACCUUCCAAGGCUAAAUACUCGUUAGUGACCGAUAGUGAACCAGUACCGUGAGGGAAAGGCGAAAAGAACCCCGUAAGGGGAGUGAAAUAGAACCUGAAAUCAUACAUCUACAAAGUGUGGGUCAUCUUUAUAUGAUGUACCGCAUGCCUUUUGCAUAAUGAGUCUGCGACUUACUGUAUACGGCAAGGUUAAGUUAUUAAACGGAGCCGAAGCGAAAGCGAGUACGAAUAGUGCGAUUUAAGUCGUAUGCAGUAGACCCGAAACUGAGUGAUCUAUCCAUGAGCAGGUUGAAGCCCGAGUAACAUCGGGUGGAGGACCGAACCAUUGCGUGCUGAAAAACGCUUGGAUGACUUGUGGAUAGGGGUGAAAGGCCAAUCAAACUCAGUGAUAGCUGGUUCUCUCCGAAAUAGCUUUAGGGCUAGCCUUGAGUGCUUCUUUACGGGGGUAGAGCUACUGAUUUUUCGCGGGCCCUUACCGGGGUACCAACAAAUAUCAAACUCCGAAUACCGUAAAUUUAUGAGCUCAGGAGUCAGUCUAUGUGGGACAAGCCGCAUAGACAAAAGGGAAACAGCCCAGAUCGCCGUCUAAGGCCCCCAAGAUGGGCUAAGUGGAAUUAAGGAUGUGGAGUUGCUUGGACAAUCAGGAUGUUGGCUUAGAGGCAGCCACCAUUUAAAGAGUGCGUAAUAGCUCACUGAUCGAGUGAUUCUGCGCCGAAAAUAAUCGGGACUAAAGCCCAUUGCCGAAGACGCGACCCAGCUUGCUGGGGGUAGGAGAGCGUUCUAUGCAGGAGUGAAGCUUGAUGGAAACAACAGGUGGACCGCAUAGAAGUGAGAAUGCAGACAUAAGUAACGAAAAACCGGGUGUGAAUCCCGGUCACCGAAAUCCGAAGGUUUCCUGGGCAAGGUUCGUCCCCCCAGGGUUAGUCGGACCCUAAGGCGAGGCCCAACGGCGUAGUCGAUGGACAACAGGUUAAUAUUCCUGUACUAGCUAAGUGUAGUGAUGAAGGGACGCGGAAGGAAAAUGUUAAUGACUGAUGGAUUAGUCAUACCAAGCAGGCAAUUCGUAGAGUAGGAAAAUCCGCUUUACAUAAGAACCAACUGUGAUGGGGCGAAGAAACCCUCGGGUGGAACCGUCUAACAUGGAACCAUGCUGCCAAGAAAAGCUUCUAAGCGUCUGAUGCUUAGUUAUCCGUACUAAAACCGACACAGGUAGGAAGGUCGAGUAGACUAAGGUGCGCGAGAGAAACCACGUUAAGGAACUCGGCAAAUUAGCCCCGUAACUUCGGGAGAAGGGGUGCCCCCUCAGGGGGGCCGCAGUUAAGAGGUCUGGGCGACUGUUUAGCAAAAACAUAGCACUCUGCAAACUCGAAAGAGGAAGUAUAGGGUGUGACACGUGACCAAUGCCAAAAGGUCAAAUGGAGAGGUUAGCCUUCGGGCGAAGCUUCGAAAUGAAGCCCUGGUGAAUGUCGGCCGUAACUAUAACGGUCCUAAGGUAGCGAAAUUCCUUGUCGGGUAAGUUCCGACCUGCACGAAUCGUGUAACGAUCCAGACACUGUCUCAACGUGGAUCUCGGUGAAAUUGUAGUUCCGGUGAAAAUGCCGGAUACCCGCAGAUGGACGGAAAGACCCCAUGAACCUUUACUGUAAUCUGAUAUUGUUGUUCGGACUAAUAUGUGUAGCAUAAGUGGGAGACUGUGAACUUGCGUCGUCAGGCGUUUGUGAGUCGUCAGUGAAAUACCACCCUUAUUAGUUUGGGCAUCUAACCCCACGUCCGUGAAUCCGGAUGGGGGACAGUUUCAGAGGGUCAGUUUGACUGGGGCGGUUUCCUCCUAAAAUGUAACGGAGGAGCUCGAAGGUCUACUCAGCAUGGUCAGCAAUCAUGCGUAGAGCGUAAGGGUAGAAGUAGGCUUUACUGUAACACCGACAGGUGGAGCAGUUGCGAAAGCAGGACCUAGUGAUCCAGCGGUGGAAAGAGGUAUCGCCGUUGCUCAUCGGAUAAAAGGUACUCUGGGGAUAACAGGCUUAUCGCACCCAAGCGUCCAUAGCGACGGUGCGGUUUGGCACCUCGAUGUCGGCUCAUCACAUCCUGGGGCUGAAGAAGGUCCCAAGGGUCCGGCUGUUCGCCGGUUAAAGUGGUACGCGAGCUGGGUUCAGAACGUCGUGAGACAGUUCGGUCCUUAUCCUCUGCGGGCGUAGGAUAUUUGAUAGGAGCAUUCCCUAGUACGAGAGGACCGGGAAUGAGUGACCUCUGGUGUUCCAGUUGUACCGCCAGGUGCAUUGCUGGGUAGCUAAGUCGCGAAAGGAUAAGCGCUGAAAGCAUCUAAGCGCCAAGCCCCCCUAAAGAUGAGAUAUCCCAGGAUUU